GACGAACGCUGGCGGCGUGCCUAAUACAUGCAAGUAGAACGCUGAAGGAGGAGCUUGCUUCUCCGGAUGAGUUGCGAACGGGUGAGUAACGCGUAGGUAACCUGCCUGGUAGCGGGGGAUAACUAUUGGAAACGAUAGCUAAUACCGCAUAAUAGCAGUUAUUGCAUGAUAACUGUUUGAAAGGUGCAAUUGCACCACUACCAGAUGGACCUGCGUUGUAUUAGCUAGUUGGUGGGGUAACGGCUCACCAAGGCGACGAUACAUAGCCGACCUGAGAGGGUGAUCGGCCACACUGGGACUGAGACACGGCCCAGACUCCUACGGGAGGCAGCAGUAGGGAAUCUUCGGCAAUGGACGGAAGUCUGACCGAGCAACGCCGCGUGAGUGAAGAAGGUUUUCGGAUCGUAAAGCUCUGUUGUAAGGGAAGAACGAGUGGAGAGGGAAAGUUCACACUG
rnacentral:rRNA from 1 species